GACGUAGGGCGCGAGCGUUGUCCGGAUUUAUUGGGCGUAAAGAGCUCGUAGGCGGCUUGUCGCGUCGAAUGUGAAAUUUUAGGGCUCAACCCUGACAUUGCAUUCGAUACGGGCAGGCUUGAGUUCGGUAGGGGAGACUGGAAUUCCUGGUGUAGCGGUGAAAUGCGCAGAUAUCAGGAGGAACACCGGUGGCGAAGGCGGGUCUCUGGGCCGAUACUGACGCUGAGGCGCGAAAGCUAGGGGAGCGAACAGG
rnacentral:rRNA from 1 species